GAUGAACGCUGGCGGCGUGCCUAAUACAUGCAAGUCGAGCGAACGGACGAGAAGCUUGCUUCUCUGAUGUUAGCGGCGGACGGGUGAGUAACACGUGGAUAACCUACCUAUAAGACUGGGAUAACUUCGGGAAACAGGAGAUAAUACCGGAUAAUAUUUUGAACCGCAUGGUUCAAAAGUGAAAGACGGUCUUGCUGUCACUUAUAGAUGGAUCCGCGCUGCAUUAGCUAGUUGGUAAGGUAACGGCUUACCAAGGCAACGAUGCAUAGCCGAUCUGAGAGGGUGAUCGGCCACACUGGAACUGAGACACGGUCCAGACUCCUACGGGAGGCAGCAGUAGGGAAUCUUCCGCAAUGGGCGAAAGCCUGACGGAGCAACGCCGCGUGAGUGAUGAAGGUCUUCGGAUCGUAAAACUCUGUUAUUAGGGAAGAACAUAUGUGUAAGUAACUGUGCACAUCUUGACGGUACCUAAUCAGAAAGCCACGGCUAACUACGUG
rnacentral:rRNA from 1 species